rnacentral:tRNA from 1 species
GGAAAAUUUUCAGAAUUUACUGCUAAUAAAUUUUAGAAGUUUUAUUGCUUCAUUUUCCU